rnacentral:misc_RNA from 1 species
AGCAAUUUUGAACUUGAAGCUUAUCUUGAGCAUAUCUCCUUUUUCCAGUAUUAAAAAGGUAUGAAAAUUUAACUCUUGCUAGAACUACUUUAAAUUGUAACUCUCUUUCAGUUUCAAUUUCAAAAGUUGAUUUAUUUGCUUAACUCAUUUCAAUGUGUCUGUAUACUGUAGUAACUGAGCUAAGGUUAAUUUCAGAUGAAAAGGAUCAUCAGCU